CCCUUAGAUGUUCUGGGCCGCACGCGCGCUACACUGAUGCAUUCAACGAGUCUAAAACCUGCUCUGAUAGGGGUGGGUAAUCUUUUGAAUGUGCAUCGUGAUUGGGAUAGAUGAUUGAAAUUUUUCAUCUUCAACGAGGAAUGCCUAGUAAACGCAAGUCAUCAGCUUGCAUUGAUUACGUCCCUGCCCUUUGUACACACCGCCCGUCGCUCCUACCGAUUGAAUGCUCAGGUGAGCCAUUCGGACCUUCAUCAUGCCGGUUUCCGGUUUUGAUGAGGGAAAGUCUUGCGAACCUUAUCAUUUAGAGGAAGGAGAAGUCGUAACA
rnacentral:rRNA from 1 species